rnacentral:ncRNA from 2 species
AUCAGUUCUUUUUUUUCUGGUGCCGGACUUGAAAUGGUCCGGAUAAUAGGGAAGUACGUGAGAUUCGUACACUGUACCCGCAACUGAAAAACGGUUCGCUGGAGAGGGGAGGCAAACAACCCAGUUUGUUCAUUUUCUAUUCAGCAGGAUCAAGCCACGUCGUUAUCCGAGAUGUUACCACCGGAGAGACGGGGGAAGGCUUUUUCCACAUUGAACGCCUGCCGAAAGGGCAGAAAACCGUUGAUAGUCAGGAGACCUGCCGGAAAGCUAUUGCCGUA